CGGCGUCAGGGCUGCCAUCCUGCUGUGCCAGCAGCUCCUGAAGGAAAACUGCCCGGAUUUGGACAAAAUGGGCUGGUGGGAAGAUUGCAAAGGCAGCCAAAGCGAGAGGAGGCUGAGCACGACCGAGAGGGAGAGGAGCCUCCCUGCUCCGUGGCUGGUUUCAGCGGCCGUAGGAGAAGCUGGGGCUGGAGGAGAGAGCAGGACUUGUGGAACAUCAGGAAUAAUGAUUCAAGCCAGCCAGAUUUCAACAGCGAGGAAAAAAAAAAGAACCUCUUGAGAGCGGCAUAUUGAGAAAUGGCUACAUUAAAUAUAAAAAAGAAAAAGAGUGUGUAAAGCUUCCUAACUUAUUACAUUUCCUGCCACACGUCUAUCGGAUGGGGUGUAAAGAGCCACCAAGUCCUUAGCAAACCCCCCCUUCUCCAACAAAGCCCCUGGGAAGGUCCCGUCCCCGUCCCGC